AGUUACCUAGAAGGAUAGUCUAUGUCUAUAUAAAACCGACUAGAUAUGAUAUACGGGAAUCUAAUUGAUUUGUGGUGUAGAAGACUUGUCCAUUAAGUGCACAAGGAUCCUAAAGCAAGUCAUGUGAUGCCCACCUGCCGAGAGCGGGUUUUUAUCAAUGCAGGACUUCCUUCUGGGUUUUAU
rnacentral:other from 1 species